AUAAAAUUAGUUCAGUUAGUAGAUCAUGAGACUCUUAAUCUCAAGGUUGUGGGUUCAAGCCCUACAUUGUUUGCUGCA